AUCUUCGUUCUGUUGAUAACUCACGUGGUAGAGUGGCAUUUCAGAGGGGGGUUGCAGAGCCUACUGGAUGCAGUGAGUGAGGCAUACAACUUCAGAUCUAAGUGGGCUUCCUCUGUUUUAUCUGGCAACCCUUGUCCCCACCGAGUCAAAAAUUUGAAACAUGAGACAUUGUUGGUUUGGACCAGCGUUUCCCAAAGUGUAUUCCACUGGAUAUUUGUAGAUCGUGCGUGCAUGCCAAGUUGCCUCAGUCAUGUCCGACUCUUUGUGACCCUGUGGUCUGUAGCUGCCGGGCUCCUCUGUCCACGGGAUUCCCCAGGCAAGAAUACUGGAGUGGGUUGCCAUUUCCACUAGUAGAUUAGUACUUGUUAUAAUAAUAAUUUAGAGAAAAGGUUCUGUGAUCAGCUAUGUGAUUCAGACAAAGUUAAAGGAAUUUCUGACUGUUGGACUCACCACUGAAUAGUCUCAUUGUGAAUUUCCAAGAAUAGUAGUAUUUCCCAAGCAUGUUUGAACAGCAAUCCCUCAGACGGUAAAGAAUCUGCCUGCAGUGCAGGAGACCUGGGUUUGAUCCCUGGGUCAGGAAGAUCCCCUGGAGAAGGAAAUGGCAAUCCACUCCAGUAUUCUUGCCUGGAGAAUUCCAUGGACAGAGGAGCCUGGUGGGCUAUAGUCCGUGGGACUGCGAAGAGUCAGACAUGACUGAACGACUAACACUUUCACUUCUUUCCCUUUGAAAAAUGCUUAUGCUUACAUGACUUGGCUCUCACAGGAGCGGGACUGUCCACUGGCUACGACUGAGCCCUUUCCCGAUCUGGGACACCCAGUCCCAGCUGUCCCGUGUCCCUGCUGGGUCUUCUUACUGAGAACACCCCUCCACUGCUCCCCUAAUGAACAGAACCUGGGGACACUUUGGGCCAAAUCACGGUGGAGCCAAGAUGCUAUCAUCUUUUCUACUUGUCCUUGUUCGCGCUGCUUACGGGGAGGUCAUCUGUAUUUGCCUCAGGCUCCAGAAGGCAAAUUCAUCUCCUUCCCCUCAGGCUGAAAUGAAUUGCCCUGCAGGCUGUAAAGCUUCUGUCUUUUUAAGCUAAUGCAGAGUGAAGACCCUUCAUUUCAGGAAUCACACGCGUUCCCUGAAUUUGUAGCCCACCAUCAUUCAAACCUAACCAAUCUGAACGUGAAUGCUGUCUCCAAGUUGAGAAUUCUGCUUGAAGUUAGUCUUUCCAUGAAAAAGUUCCAAAUGAACAGGAACACCUGAUGUAUCUGAAAAAUUCACACCAAAGAACAGGAACAUACUGAAGAGGACGAUCGGGAAGAAAAUUCUCACACUGCCAAUUACAAGUUCCAUUUUGACAGCGGAUCUGAUGGUAUCGUGUGUAUUUGGAAAUGUUAUACGCCAGCUGAACAUCUUCAACAAUUUGUAACAUGACCUUGGGGCAUGUUUUAGAAGAGCAUCAGUCAUUAUGGAAAACAGUUCCCUCCUGUCACAGCUCACUCGCAAGACAGAAAAUACAAAGAGAAUAACUGAAAGUUCACUUGAGCUGGACCAACCAAAUAAUCUGCAAAUAUCCUUGGGUUUCACAUGACUGUAAUUUACCUUCUCUCCAAACUUUUAAUGAGAAAUCUACUUUAACAGUUUUUUUUUUUUUUUUAAAUCUCUGGAACUAAGACCCAAACAUUUUGCACUCUAUUUUUUUUUUUUUUAAUUUCAUGACUGUUUGGAUAAAGCUACUCGAAAAAUAUACA